rnacentral:lncRNA from 1 species
AUAUCUUUCAAAUCUGCCCAUUUCUAUGGCCACCACUGUAGUCUAAGCUCCUAUCAUUUCUUGCCCAGACAACUGCAAUUGCCUCCAUCUGCCUUGGGAUACACCCAGAAAGCAGAGCCUACUAGGACUUCCAUGCUGGUCGUUUAUUUAACAGGAUCCCGGUGCCUUCUUGACUCCGCAACACUGUGGUGCCCUCACGAAGCUUCCGUUUUCCAGGAAACAGCAGGGAGGAAAAGAGAGAACAACAGUGCCUGGGGACCACUCCUUGUCAAGGCGAAGCCCAGCCUAGGGUGGAUAUCGUUCCAGCAUCUCCCCAGUUCUUCUUCGCCCUCGCGGACUACUU